AAGUUCCAGACACUCAUGCUCCCAGCAGUCCUUGGUGAGCAGAUGGGAGGGAGGAUGACUGAAAGAAUGAAUGAACACUGCCAGUAGACUCUCUGAGCUUACGAAGACUUGUUGGAGCUGGUAAACAGACUGGGAUCAGGACCAAUAUAAUCACGUUCAUUCUGCCACUGACCUUGCGCAGUGCUCUCCAAGACCUGAAAAAUGAGCACGUGUGGGCCAGACCGUGGUAGGGAAAAGAGUGUUCCAGGAGAUGGAACAGCACAUGCAAAGACUCUAAGAUAAGAAAGACUAAGGCGGGCUUCCCUGGUGGCGCAGUGGCUAAGAAUCUACCUGCCAACACAGGGGUCACAGGUUCAA